rnacentral:rRNA from 1 species
UGAAUACGAGAUGCUACGGCGUCGAAGCAGUCUAUGUCAUACUUCCAAGAAAAGCUCGCACUGUCAUAAACAAAUAAUGCCUGUACCAUAACCGACACAGGUGGGUAGGUAGAGUAUACUAAGGGGCGCGAGAUAACUCUCUCUAAGGAACUCGGCAAAAUGACUCCGUAACUUCGGGAGAAGGAGUGCCUUAUUUAUAAGGUUGCAAUAACAAGAUCCAAGCAACUGUUUAUCAAAAACACAGGUCUCCGCUAAGUCGUAAGACGAUGUAUGGGGGCUGACGCCUGCCCAGUGCCAGAAGGUUAAAGAAGUUGGUUAGCAUUCGCGAAGCUGAUAACUGAAGCCCUGGUGAACGGCGGCCGUAACUAUAACGGUCCUAAGGUAGCGAAAUUCCUUGUCGGGUAAGUUCCGACCCGCACGAAAGGCGUAAUGAUUUGGAUACUGUCUCGGAGAGGGGCUCGGUGAAAUAGACUUGUCUGUGAAGAUGCGGACUACCUGCACCAGGACAGAAAGACCCUAUGAAGCUUUACUGUAACUUGAGAUUGAAAUUGGACUUUACUUGCGCAGUAUAGGUGGGAGGCGUUGAUAAUAUUCUUGCGGGAUUAUUUGAGCCAUCAGUGAGAUACCACUCUUGUAAUGUUAGAUUUCUAACUUUGUAUCAUUAUCUGGUCAAAGGACAGUUUCAGGCGGGCAGUUUGACUGGGGCGGUCGCCUCCUAAACGGUAACGGAGGCGCACAAAGGUUUCCUCUGAACGGGUAGAAAUCGUAUCUAGAGUGUAAUGGCAUAAGGAAGCUUGACUGUGAGACCUACAAGUCGAGCAGGGACGAAAGUCGGUCUUAGUGAUCUGACGGUGCUGAGUGGAAAGGCCGUCACUCAACGGAUAAAAGUUACUCUAGGAUAACAGGCUGAUCUCCCCCAAGAGUUCACAUCGACGGGGAGGUUUGGCACCUCGAUGUCGGCUCAUCGCAUCCUGGGGCGGUAGUACGUCCCAAGGGUUGGGCUGUUCGCCCAUGAAAGCGGUACGCGAGCUGGGUUCAGAACGUCGUGAGACAGUUCGGUCCAUAUCCGGUGUAGGCGUUAGAAUAUUGAGAGGAGCCUUCUUUAGUACGAGAGGACCGAGAAGGACAUACCUCUGGUGUACCAGUUAUCGUGCCAACGGUAAACGCUGGGUAGCUAUGUAUGGAGUGGAUAACCGCUGAAAGCAUCUAAGUGGGAAGCCCACCUCAAGAUAAG